GCACACGCAAGUGGAGGGCGACACAGGUCCGCUGACUCGCGCGCCCUUUGCAGUCGCAUCGACACGCUCACAACUCUUCUUCACCGCUGCCCUGUGUUGCCGUGCAAUCCUCUUCGGCCGCCCUCGAUCCACCUGCGUCUCUGUCCGUGGCCCGGCUGUUUCGCUGCACGCGGCCAAGAGUGUGCUCGUGCCGCUUUGCCACCCCCCUGCACACCGUAGGCACUCCUUCCCCCACCACCUCACUGCACGCGAAGUACACCCUCAUGCGAGAGGAGAACAAUGCGCCACCGGCGUGGGCUCCCAGGGACACGCACCGCGCCGACCCUCUUCAGCUGCUUUCCUCCCCUCAGAAGCACUGCGGGCUGAGCAGCGCUGCGGAGAGCGGACAGGGCUGUCACUCGCGCUCACGCGGCAAGUCGGAGGUGGAUUCGACUCGAGCGGCGAGCAGUGAUAAGAGUAGCGCCAGCACACUGUCGAGAAACGAUGCACGGCCGCAUGGGGUAUCACAGAUCCUUCCCUCUCGGUUACGCGGACAUCCUCGACGAUCCGCGGCACAAUGCCUGCGCUUACAAACGAAACGCCGUCUUCUGGUUGCGCUAGCCGUCUUACUUGCUCUCAUAGUCAUGGUUCACUGUGCUAUCAGCCGAUUCACGAUCAAUGUAGGCUCACAACAGAAACCGUCGAUACGGUCGUCAAAGGAGGCGGCCCGUAAAUCUAAGUUUCCAUCGUCGUUUUCUGUUCUCGUGCACCACGGGACUGCUGUUGAGCGGUUGACGACCACACAGCGCGGUCUUGCUGCCUCUGAAAAUGACUCUCUGGUGCGACUGGACCGUGAUCAGCUGCCUUCGUGGACGCUGCGCGUGAUCGACGAGGACUGCACGAUGUGCUUCGACAAUGUGACGUACGCUUCUGCGGUUGCUGCGAAUGCGGGGAGAUCCACUGACAGGACGGGAAACCAGAGGCUGGAAGGGCUUUCUGUGUUCGCGACAACAUCUGCGCCGCUGGGCCUCAUGGGGCCCAUGCUGUUUGCCAUGGCGAGCGUGACGGACGACGUGGACAUUGCAACUGAACUGCCGCGGUGGCAAUGGGUGAUCCAGUCGUACGCGCAGCAGCGCCGCUUCGUCCACUCGCCGCAGUCGAGGGGCACAGGUGAGCGACCGCGGCACUUGAUCGUGAUGGGCAUACCUUCCACGGACCAGCCGAAGCGCUACCCGCUGCGGGACGCGCAGCGGGCGACGUGGUUGACGUACCGAGAGGUUGCGCGCACCGAGAACAACUUUACUGGCGCGCUGCUGCAGCUCUACGUGUUCGCUGCUGCGGAGCGUGAUUCUGAGGACACAACGCAUUCCACCGUGGACGUGGCGCAGCUGGCCCCAACAGUGAGCGAGUACGCCGCAGCGACUGCGCAGCACCUGGCUGCGGAGGGUGGAGACGUCAACAGUGCCCCCACGUACGUGCAGCGUCGCGUGGUGCUGCGUGAUGGGUGGCGCGACAUCCCAAGAAGCGAUGACGCGGUGUGGAAGUCACCCUGCGCUGGUGUAAGGACCUCCGUGGUGACUACGGCAAGUCUUGUGGACGGGACCUCGCCCCUCGCGGCUCUUUCAGCCCAGUUGUCGCUGCCCGUGACACCUGCCUUCACAGCAGCGGCGCAGUACGUGUGCCACGUGUCCGCUGCAUUGUGGCAGGAGGCGCUGCACCACCGCAACUCACUGUGGCUGGACUUUUUGACGGACCGCAAGCCGACCACGAAAAAGAAAAUGGGCGAUGCGAUAUCGUGGGGUUUCCCGGCGGAAGUAGGCAUGACUCAAAAGGUCGUGAUAUGGCUGAACUACGCGUACACUGCCUUCCCAGACGUGCCGUACAUCAUGAAGGGCGACGACGACACGUACUUGAAGGUGCCACAGUACUUGAGCGACCUGCGCCAUGUGCGCGGUGGGUGGGCGAAACCGCGCAACUUGACGGCGACCAUUCCGCACAAAGGGGUUAUCCCACCGACGCUGGGCAUCGACGACGCAGAGGAAUGCCUGUAUCGAGUGUGGUGGUACGAAUUCAACGAGGUUGUCUAUGGCCAUGGUCCUGGCUAUGCACUAGACCGUCGCCUCAUCCAAGCUGUACUGAACACAUUUGAUGUCUUCAACGAUUUUUUGCUGAUGCUAUUAAUGCUGCCGUACACCUUCAUGUAUAACAGUCAUUAUGCGAGCUUGCUCAUGCAGCACGAGGACCUUUUCGUGGGACGGCAAUUGCAAAGUCUUUCUCUUAGGGUGAAAGAAAUGUGCGCGAAGCGUCCACUGCGCUACGUAUCGGACCAAGAACCACGCUCGCUCCAGGUUGUCCGACCCGCGCCCUCCAAUCAGACCUGGACAUGGAGCUCGGUACUGAUGCACUAUGCUAUGCCGGCGAUUCCUUAUUUCAUCCACUACUACUUCAAGCACGAGUUCGAGGUAGCCGAGGCGGCUAAAGGGGCACUUAAGCAGGGCAUCGAUGCCAGCGCCAUCGAUGCGAAUGCCACACAGAAAAUGAAGGAGUGGGUGGCGUCGCAAGUGCCGACGACGCUGGCAGACCUGAAAAGGGUGCAGAAUGUAAGCUGGGUGCGCGGAGACCCACGCACGGCGUACGUUGUAGCUGAGGGCGACGGCGUUGCAGUGUACGAUAUUGCGUACAGACCUCGCAACACGACACUUGUCGAAUGUGCCAUCGAGUCUGGAAAGUAGUGCAACACGUUUCUUUUCUGUCGCCCUCCACCCUUGGCCGUCAAGCAUG
rnacentral:misc_RNA from 1 species